GAGCAGGUAGCCUAGUGGUUAGAGCAGGUAGCCUAGUGGUUAGAGCAGGUAGUCUAGUGGUUAGAGCAGGUAGCCUAGUGGUUAGAGGCAGGUAGCCUAGUGGUUAGAGCAGGUAGCCUAGUGGUUAGAGCAGGUAGCCUAGUGGUUAGAGCAGGUAGCCUAGUGGUUAGAGCAGGUAGCCUGGUGGUUAGAGCAGGUAGCCUAGUGGUUAGAGCAGGUAGCCUAGUGGUUAGAGCAGGUAGCCUAGUGGUUAGAGCAGGUAGCCUAGUGGUUAGAGCAGGUAGCCUAGUGGUUAGAGCAGGUAGACUAGUGGUUAGAGCAGGUAGCCUAGUGGUUAGAGCAGGUAGCCUAGUGGUUAGAGCAGGUAGCCUAGUGGUUAGAGCAGGUAGCCUAGUGGUUAGAGCAGGUAGCCUAGUGGUUAGAGCAGGUAGCCUAG
ensembl:lncRNA